rnacentral:rRNA from 1 species
UACGUAGGGACCAAGCGUUGUUCGGAUUUACUGGGCGUAAAGGGCGCGUAGGCGGCGCGGUAAGUCACUUGUGGAAUCUCUGAGCUUAACUCAGAACGGCCAAGUGAUACUGCAGUGCUAGAGUGUGGAAGGGGCAAUCGGAAUUCUUGGUGUAGCGGUGAAAUGCGUAGAUAUCAAGAGGAACACCUGAGGUGAAGACGGGUUGCUGGGCCAACACUGACGCUGAUGCGCGAAAGCGUGGGGAGCAAACAGG